rnacentral:rRNA from 1 species
GAUGAACGCUAGCGACAGGCUUAACACAUGCAAGUCGAGGGGCAGCACGGUGUAGCAAUACAUUGGUGGCGACCGGCGCACGGGUGAGUAACGCGUAUGCAACCUACCUAUCAGAGGGGAAUAACCCGGCGAAAGUCGGACUAAUACCGCAUAAAACAGGGGUUCCACAUGGAAAUAUUUGUUAAAGAUUUAUCGCUGAUAGAUGGGCAUGCGUUCCAUUAGAUAGUUGGUGAGGUAACGGCUCCCCAAGUCUACGAUGGAUAGGGGUUCUGAGAGGAAGGUCCCCCACACUGGUACUGAGACACGGACCAGACGCCUACGGGAGGCAGCAGUGAGGAAUAUUGGUCAAUGGGCGAGAGCCUGAACCAGCCAAGUCGCGCGAAGGAUGAAGGAUCUAUGGUUUGUAAACUUCUUUUAUAUGGGAAUAAAGUGAGGAACGUGUUCCUUUUUGUAUGUACCAUAUGAAUAAGCAUUGGCUAACUCCGUGCCAGCAGCCGCGGUAA